rnacentral:lncRNA from 10 species
AGCUGCUCCUGCAGGUGCAACCCCCAUGAAAGCUUACUCUUCUCUCUCCUUACCCUCUCCUUACCUAAUUAACAACUUCAUACCUCAUUAUCAGUUCCUUAUGCUGAAUUCUCUUUUCAAACUAACUGGUGUGGUUUCUGUCUCCUGAUUGAACCCCAGCUGACACAGGUAAUGAGGAAUUGAAGUUUUCUGGGAAGUGAGGGCUGCCUCUCUUGGCCGCCCUGCUGAGAGCUCCCUUCCCUCCUCCAUUCCCAGAAUUAUUUGGCUGCUGGUCGCCAAGGAGACGACUGACAAUUUCCAGUUGCCAAGCCUCACCCUGGAGCUCUACAGAGACAUUAUGGAAACUCCCCACUCCUUCCUGCUCCUCAGCCAGGGAACUUGGAGAAUCUAGCCAGUGACAAGGCGCCAUCUUGGAAGACAACAGCUCUCACCAGACACCGGACCUGCUGGAGCCCCGGUCUUGGACUUCCCAGUCUCCAGAACUGUGGAGAAGAGAAGAGCAGCACACGCAGUUUCAAAUAGUGAAUGACUUUCAUCUGGAAAUGAGGCCACAAGAUGGAGACGGAGCGGGUUGCUCACCCAAGUUCAUGCAGCGCCCAUCUGACGUUCCCCCGGGAGGAGCUGCAGGGCCUUCUUUCGAGGAGGUGGCAGAGGGGCUUCCUGCGUGCAAAGGAGGGUCCCACCAGCCCUUUUGGAACCUCAGCCUGGUCCUCCAGAAUUUCACCUCAAACUACUGGAGUCUAGGUCCUGAGUCCCUCCUUAUAAGCCCCUCAUUUCUGAGUUCAGCUACGAGGCCACUCCAGGGACUCCAGGUUGCCCCUUAGUCCACACAGUUGCCUGUCCUUCCCUCCAGGCUGAUGUGAGCCCUGGGGGCCCAGGCAGGCUGGGGAUGGAGGCCACGCAGUGAGGGUGGAGAGCACAGGCCCUGAGCAGGAGGGGACGAUGAGAAGCAGGCACCAGAACCUGGGAAUCCACAGCUUUACCUGCCCCAGGGCCCGGCUGCUGAGCUUGCACAGUGCAGAGCACAGCUCCAGGUGACCUCAGCUUGGAUGAAGCUCCUUGGGAAGGGGGGAAGGAGGGAAAGAGAGGAUCUCUUGUCAGGCCUCCAACCCUGCCACCAGAGGAUGGAAAAAUCUGACCCCAUCCCUGUGCCUUAAACUUAGACGCUCAAGAAACAUUUGUUCAAUUCAUUGUUUACGUUCUUUGGUUAAGAGGUAUAAGUAAGUUUAAGAGGCAGGAGCUAUACAUGCAUAAUCUCAUGUGUUCCUCACAGGAAAACCAUUAAAGGAAGAAAUUGAAGCUUAGAGAAGUUCUGUAAGAUGCUGAGGUCACACAGUAAUAAAGAGAUAAAUGUGUGUUCUCAUUACUGCGCUUUCUUGUCUCUCAAAGCAAGGAACCAGCUCACCUUGUCUCUCCCAGCUCCUCACCUCCCGAGGCAGCAGGGACAGGAGCCCUGGGCCUGUUCUCCCAUUCCAGACACAUCUCUUCUCUUCCAGACAGGGGCUGUGGCUCUGCCAUGGGGUUCCUGUUCUGGCAGAGCCAGGACACAGGAUGGGGGUAGGCUUCACCUCUGUGAUGGUCUGUUUUAUGUGUCAACUUGGCUAGGUCAUGGGGUACCCAGAUAUUUCAAACAUCACUCUGGGUGUUUCGGGAGGGUGUUCUGGGGUGAGAUGAACAUUUGAAUUGAUAGAAUCAGUAAAGAACAUUGCCCUCCCCAACAUGGGUGGGCCUCAUCCAAUCAGGUGACGGCCCGAACAGAACAAAAAGGCUGAGUAAGAUGGAACUCCGCCUGCCUGACUGCCUGAACUGGAACUGCGGUCUUUUCCUGCCUUCAGACUCAAACUGAAACCUCAGCUCUCCCUGGAUCUCAAGCCUGUGGACAGCAGAUCUUGAGAUUUGUCAGCCUCCAUAAUCACAUGACCCGAUUCCUUAUGAUAAAUCCCUUUCUGUAUAUACAUACAACCUCUUCGUUCUCUUUCUCUGGAGACCCCUGACUAAUAUACCCUCUCUCCCUGACUCUCCCUUCGAGGGUCCCCUUCCUAAGGGGAAAGAGCAGGUUGAGGAGCCCCACCUGACUUCCGUGUUCCUGAUGCCCCAGCUGA